rfam:Ananas comosus cultivar MD2 ACMD2_Scaffold_399, whole genome shotgun sequence.
GCCGCCAUGGUGAAAUCGGUAGACACGCUGCUCUUAGGAAGCAGUGCUAAAGCAUCUCGGUUCGAGUCCGAGUGGCGGCA